rnacentral:lncRNA from 1 species
AAUUUGGAGGCCUAAGGCCGUUUUGUAUUUGAGACAUUUCCUGCAGUGGGCCGGUCUAAGGGGCCAUUUUUUUGAGGCCUUUCUUGCGGUAGGCCUUUUUUGGGCUGGGGCCUUAGACGACCGUCUAAGUUGCUUAAGGGUUGGACCGGACCUAUAUAGUUGAAUAGAUCUUUUUUGACCAUAUGCUUCUAUGUGCACCAACUGCUCGACCAAUAUCUUGAGUUUUUCAAUUCAAGCUUUACUGAAGGAGGCACUUUAAUUGUAACAAAAAUUUCUUGAAUCAAUCUAAAAAUAAAGCAGCCAGAAGUAAUGCAAAACAUGUCCACAAUAUAAUAAAGACACGAGCAACGAUAUCGAAAAUAAUAAUGAUUAUAAUAACAAUAACAGUAACAAUUGUUUCCUCUUACACUCUUCGUACAUGAAUGGCUAGGAUUUAUCUAGCUGUCUCUCAAAGAUAAUAAAAUAGCACCAUAAUAACAACAACAACGAUAUCAAGAACCUAUCCAAAAAACCAUCUGUAAGAACUAAUUAAAAAUCACAGGUUUCUUUAAAAAUCACAGGUUUCUUGUGCAAGAGCAACAAUGCAUGGAGGGCUUCGUUUUCGGCAGGCGCUGACAUUCCUGUUUCCUCGCUACAACUCUCUUUGUAAGAGUCGUCCUCGUAAUUAAGCAUCACCAAGGGAAGCUCCCCUUCCAUGAUCCCUCCAUCACCCUCCUCCCUAAUCUGGAAGCAUGCUCGCUGCUGCACCCUGACCGCCCACGUCUCGAGGAUGUCGCCGGCCGUCAAGUGAUUGUCCUUCAGGAACUUGUGGUAGUCGGGGCCCCUGAAGCGGAAGCAUUUCUUGCCGUUGUAUAGUUUCUUCAACUUCAUAUGGUACACCCGUCCCAGCCGGUCAAGAACGCUCACCCUCAACCCAUCUCCCACGCCUUGCUGCGUCGCGAGCUGCUUCUCCCCCUCCGUCAUCAUCUCGAGGAGCACCUGUUUCACCUCCUUCUCCGAGUGCUGCAGACGGUUCUGGUCCGGGUUGACGUCGGUUUGGGAAAGCUUCUUUCCUAGCACGCGCACCGAGCGGUUGAUGAUGCCCAGUCCCAACAAUGUUUGCAUCAGCCAUUCGCAUGGCUGCACUCCGAUGCAUAGCUUCUCGCAGGGGGCGCGACUGCGGUGGCCACGGUUGCCGCCGCUCGUUCCCGUUGUCGUAUUUCUCGUCUCCUCCCCCACCUGGUUGGGCUUGUUGCUUCUUGGUUCUUGAAAUGAUCUCCUCUUCUCGGCGGGUUGGGCGGGAUCUUCGAGGCCGUUCUUGGCUUCAUGAUCUUCUGUCGGGCGAUUGCCAUGGCUACGGUUGCCACCGCUCGUUGCUGCUGUGGUCUUUCCCGUCUCCUCCUCCGCCUGGUUGGGCUGGCUUCCUGGUUCUUGAAUUGUUUUCCUCUUCUUGGCGGGUGGCUCGGGAUCUUCGAGGCCGUUCUUGGCUUCAAGAUCUUCUGCCAGGCGAUUGCCAUGGCUAUGGUUGCCACCGCUCGUUGCUGUUGUGUUCUUUCCCGUCUCCUCCUCCACCAGGUUGGGCUGGCUGCCUGGUUCUUGAAAUAUUUUCCUCUUCUUCGGAGGUAGGUAGCGAUCUUGGGGGGUGUUCUUCGCUUCAAGAUCUUCUAUGAAACCCAUGUCGCCACGGAACAAAGAUUAGAUGGAGUUGAUGCUGCUUCUUGAUAUAGCCACGAUCUGGAAAGGAAGCAAGAGAGAUUGGGGAGAGGGUGUAAGCCCCGGUCCUUUAUAGGGGUUUUCCUUCCUAUUUCUAUAAUGAAUCGGAGAGCUCCAAAUCUGAAAGCGAAAAGGUUUCGGAUUAGACGCAUAACACAGGUGAAAGCGCUUAAAAUCUAGAUACUCCUCUUUUUAUGCGGACUCUCUUGUAUGCCGCAUGAGUACGUGGGGUGAGGAGCACAGAAAUUGUACGGAUCUUUUACAGUUGGCAUACGUGGCAGAUUUGGGUGGGAGAAGGAUUUGAACUUCAGAAUUUGCACACGAAAUUGUCCAACUUGCAAGCGUUGUUGCCUAGCUGGUGCUUCGCACCUUCAUUAAAUCAUGGACUAAAUCUGACUUGAUCUUUUUGAUUAUUUUCUUAAUGGUGACUGUAAUUGUACCUCCAAGGCUCGACACCUGUACCUGUCACCGGGAUUUUUUAGUUGUAACUGAAGAAAGGUUGGAAGCAGGACCACCUUAAUCCGGGGUGGGGAAAAGGCCUUGUUGUUACUGGGUAGUAGGCUCAACCCGAGUGGUUCCAUAAUCUUCCACACUGAGCUCACUGCUCAGUCACAAAUCCCUUCAACAUAUCUCAAUUGAAAUAAUUUGAUAUUUUGGAAGAACCUCAAGAGGAUUUAAAUCCAUACAGCUAUCAAAUAGAAAAGGACCAACAUUUCGGGCUAUGUUUCAGUUGGUUUCAUUGGGAGCUUGUAAUCAUUUGCUUCAAAAUAUUUGUUUGCAGGAAGUGGGAGCAUAGACAAUAUCUUAACGCCAGAAAAGCUCAGCAGACGCGGUAGUGUUGGCAGCAUCAGCUUCACCCCUGAAACACCCAACUCACAUGCCAUCAUUGAGAGUCCAAAUCAAAGCUUGGAAUCAACAAUUGCUUCACUGGAAGCAGAGAUUGCUGACUCACAGAUGAAGUUCGCUGCCCUCAUUUCAGAACUGAGCAGUUCCGAGCCUUCUGGAUAUGUUGCAGACAUGAAACAACUCAGUAAAAAGCUCGAAGGCAUGCAACUUUUGUUGACAAGAUUGAGAACUCUGGUAUAGAUUGGUCUGCAAAUUGAUGGUGUAUAGGAUCAGGAUGGAAUAGAUUUUGUGGCCUUGGCAAUUCUUUCUGUACAUAUUUAUGUAUGUUGUUGAGUUUAUACAAGGCUGUAAUAAACAACGGGUGACUUACCUUGGGAAAUUUUGUAUCUCCCAGACGUAUCAUCUUGUAUCAUUUUGAUAGGAUUUAAGAAAAAAAUGAAAGGGAAAAAUUAUUUUGUUAUUUUCAGUUAUGGUUUACAUGCUCAAACGAAAUCUGAUAAUAUUUGCAGAUGCUCUGUAAUAUCAGGUGCGUAUGUUAGUUAUGAAUAUUCGGAAUACUUGAAAGAGGAGGAACAAUUUCUUAAAAUUCUCAAAUUCUGCCCUGCCGUUCUCCUCUUCUUCCUUUUUCUCAUUCAAAAUAAAAAAAUAUGGAACUCAUGAGCAGAAGCUGGAGCCUCUACAAGUGUUGCUCAGAAAAUAGAAGAUUGUGUAUCAUAGAGCAUCUAAUUGGUAUAGUAUCCAUGAUCUCAAAGAUUUUGAAUUCCAAAUAAAGAACUUCCAAGGGAGCAGAUGGUUUUAUGAUUUAAUAACGAUCCAAUAUUCAAUGACGAAGUCAUGACAGCUUAAAUUUUUAGCUAUAAAUCUAAUAGUAGAGGUUGAUCAUGGAUCAUCCUAAAUUUGAUCUAUUUUCUAAAAAAAGAAAGAAAGAUCUAAAAGAAUACUUCAUGAAGAUUUGAAUGCUGAUCCAAUUGUGGAUCCUUAAAAUGCAGUCCUUUGAUUUAUGAUAGUUAUACAAAUUGCAUAAAUUGAAGAAUACAUCUGGAUCAUCAAAUAUUUAGAAGAUUCAACAGUAGAUCAUCAAAUACAGAGCCACUGCGAGCUGGUUCAAUGGUCCUAAAAAACCUGAUUGAUCGUCAACUUUGCUACCCAACCUUGUAUGGAGAAAUAUCAUGAGGACGGCCAUCUAAAACAGUGUAGGAAAAAUGCAAGCCAAUAUAAAGGUAAGGAAGAAAUGGCAGCAAGAAAAAUCUGCUACUGAUCUUAUAGUCCUAAAAAGGGCUAAUCUGAAAUCAGAAAUCAAUUGACCACUAUAUCAUCAACCUGGACAAACCCAAAUAAAACCGUCCAACAUGUUAUUAGAUUGGGCAGAUGACUGAAAAUUAGUCCGUCCGAAAAAUCUUUUUUUAAAAAAUAUCCCUGCGGGCAUUGGCAGGAGAAGAAAACAAAAGUCAUAUCAUAUUAUGGGUGAAUGUAGCAAAAAUAUCUUGACUAUCCAAGCCAUAAGGUCCUUUAAUAUUAAGCAACAUAGCAUAAGUCUGUCACAGCAUCCUAAUUAUAAUGGGCAUUUUUGGGCCAUCAUGAAUUUAAGGUUUUGCUUGAAAUUACCAAGAUAAGGCCCCGUUUCAAAUCGCCAAAUGGGCCAAAGUAACAACUUGAAACAAAAAAGCAUCUGAAUGUCAUACUUCGAAUAUCCUUUGUAUUUUUAAGCAAUUCCUGUUCAGAUUCUCUUCAACCAUAGAUAAUAAGGUCAAAGUACAUUAAAUAGUUAAGAGUAGGUAUUGCAGUGCCAAUACAUUGAAGAAAGCAUGAAGUACUCGAAAAUUUAAUUUCAUUUCCAUUAUAACACGAACACUGGAAUUCUAAUAGACAUAAAAACACAGUACGUUCAAUGCAAAAUCUUUUUUAACAAUAAGAUUGUAAUUUGUGCAAGAGGCAGUCUAUUAGUCCAACCAUGCACUAAUUAAUUAGUAAGUGUUCUUGUUGGACUUCAGCUGGGUCAUUCAAUUUCUUACAUGAAGAAGAGUUAGCACUUUCAAUAUUAGUCUCUUGCAAUGGUUUACCCAUAGUCAAUCCACAAGAACUGAGAUCUCAGUGGGGAUCCAUGCUCCGAUAUGAUCCAUCCAAAUACUUAUGGAUCUACUUGCAGGAGUAGCUCAAUAUAUUUGGGGGUCUAAGGCCGUUUUGUUUUUGAAGUCUUCCCUGCAGUGGGCCGGCCUAAGAGGCCUUUUUUGUUUUUAUUUUGUUUUUGAGGCCUUUCCUGCGGUGGGCCUUUCUUGGGCUGGGGCCUUAGAGAACCGCCUAAGUUGCUUAAAGGGUUGGACCGGCCCUAUCUGGUUGAAUAGAUCUAUUUUGACUAUAUGCUUCUAUGUGCACCAACUGCUCAACCAAUAUCUUGAGUUUUUCAAUUCAAGCUUAACUGAAGGAGGCACUUUAAUUGUAACAAAAAUUUCUUGAAUCAAUCUAAAAAUAAAGCGGUCAGAAGUAAUGCAAAACAUGUCCGCAAUAUGAUAAAGACACGAGCAACGAUAUUGAAAAUAAUAAUGAUUAUCAUAACAAUAACAGUAACAAUUGUUUCCUCUUACACCCCUCGUACAUGAAUAGCUAGGAUUUAUCUAGCUGUCUCUCAAAGAUAAUAAAAUAGCACCAUAAUAACAACAACAGCGAUAUCAAGAACCUAUCCAAAAAACCAUCUAGGAUUGUAAGAACUAAUUAAAAAUCACAGGUUUCUUGUGCAAGAGCAACAAUGCAUGGAGGGCUUCGUUUUCGGCAGGCG